rnacentral:snRNA from 1 species
AUACUUAUCUGAUAGGGGAGGCACCAUGAUCACUUAGGUGGUCCUCCCAGGGCGAGGCUCAUCUAUUGCACUGCGGGUGGGUUGACCCCUACGAUUUCCCAAAAUGCGGGAAACUCGACUGUAACACAUUC